rnacentral:rRNA from 1 species
GCAGAUAUCACCUUAUCCGGGAUCCUCAUAUGGAUAACUGCGGAAAUACUGGAGCUAAUACAUGCAACUAUACCCCAACGCAAGGCGGGGUGCAAUUAUUAGAACAGACCAAACGUUUUCGGACGUUGUUUGUUGACUCUGAAUAAAGCAGUUUACUGUCAGUUUCGACUGACUCUAUCCGGAAAGGGUGUCUGCCCUUUCAACUAGAUGGUAGUUUAUUGGACUACCAUGGUUGUUACGGGUAACGGAGAAUAAGGGUUCGACUCCGGAGAGGGAGCCUUAGAAACGGCUACCACGUCCAAGGAAGGCAGCAGGCGCGAAACUUAUCCACUGUUGAGUAUGAGAUAGUGACUAAAAAUAUAAAGACUCAUCCUUUUGGAUGAGUUAUUUCAAUGAGUUGAAUACAAAUGAUUCUUCGAGUAGCAAGGAGAGGGCAAGUCUGGUGCCAGCAGCCGCGGUAAUUCCAGCUCUCCUAGUGUAUCUCGUUAUUGCUGCGGUUAAAAAGCUCGUAGUUGGAUCUAGGUUACGUGCCGCAGUUCGCAAUUUGCGUCAACUGUGGUCGUGACUUCUAAUUUGCUGGUUUGAGGUUGGGUUCGCCCUUCAACUGCCAGCAGGUUUACCUUGAAUAAAUCAGAGUGCUCA